CCCUUGUAUUAAAGAUGAUAAUAAUUAAUAUUGAAAAAAAUUUAAUAAUUUUGGCGGUUAAUUAUUAAUUAGAGGAGCUUGUAUUUUAAUAGAAUUAACUCUUUAUAUUUUGAUAAUAAGUUAUUUAUUCAUCUCCGUUAUUAAAUGAAUAAUUUAAAAAUAAUUAAUUAUAAUAUUUCAGGUCAAGAUGUAGUAUUUAUUAUGAAGUAUUAGCUACAAUAAUAAAAUAUAUGAACUAUAAAAAAGUAUUUAUUAAAAUAUGAAAUUGAAUUUAAUUGUAAUUAUAUUUAAAAUAAUAUAAUGAAUGGUAAUUGUUAAUGUACAUAUUGCCCGUCACUUCUAUUUUAGAGA
rnacentral:rRNA from 1 species